rnacentral:rRNA from 1 species
ACGGAGGGUCCGAGCGUUAUCCGGAUUUACUGGGUUUAAAGGGUGCGUAGGCGGCUCCCUCAGUCAGCGGUGAAAUGUGUCGGCUCAACCGACAAACUGCCGUUGAUACUGGGGAGCUUGAGUUGGGUUGAGGCAGGUGGAAUGUGCGGUGUAGCGGUGAAAUGCUUAGAGAUCGCGAAGAACGCCGAUUGCGUAGGCAGCUUGCCAAGCCCACACUGACGCUGAGGCACGAAAGCGUGGGGAUCAAACAG